UUUGUGUACACUGAGCCAUCAAAAAACAAAGGUUUCACUAUCUCAGUCUCACUCAAAAAAGUCCGUAUUUCGGAAUAUUCCGUAUUUCGGAAUAUUUGGAUAUGGGAUACUCAACCUGUAGUAUAAUAUUGUGCAUUAUGCGCCUUUGUGUAUGGAUUAUUUGGUGAAAUUGUUUCUUAUUUAAAGUAUACAUACCCAAUGAAGUCAGGCAGAAAAGCAUAAGCAUCGUUUAGUUUACUUCUCAUCAGGUUCCACAUAUGUUUACAUCACAAUAAGGAAUUUGCAUAAACAUAUCAACAAAAUAGUAUGUUCAUAAGGACAUUCUUCAUAUUUCUACAGUACGAAAGAGAAGCAGCACAGCCAGGCCACAUCCAACACUGCCAAGAGAUGCAGAUGGUGGCAAUGCAGGUUCUUCUUCUGCAAACCCCCCUCCACUAAGGCGCCCAUCACAGGGCUCGGUUACUGUGGCUAGGAGGCCAACCAAGAGACGCCGGUUUGAGGCUGAAUCUCCAGCACCAGCAUCACCACCACCCCAACGGCGCAUCUCCGCAGUGUCGGCCCUGCCACCACUAGCUCUUUUGGCCAGCCCACAAAGUGAGGAUCCACAAUCCCCUCAGUUGUCUGACCCAGCCAUCAUCACCGAGGAUGUCCAGCAGGAAAGUGACCAGCAGGAUACUUUCACACUACACCUGCAGGCCAUCGAUCCUACCCAGCCAACCACGCCGCAGGACAUACCCCAACCACCCCAAACAUCCCACAGCCCCCAAUUGAGCACAACACCACCCCAGACACAAAUGGGCCCUGAGUUUUGAAGCCGUUGGGCCACACAACAGGAGCAACACUAUGCGUGCCUCAACACCCACAGCCAAUACCUGUCAAGUCUGCCCCAUCAUCUGCCUAGACUGAGUCGCAACUCAGGCAGACUUAUAGUGCAGGUGGGCAGAAUUGCCAACUCAAUGGAGCAGAUGAGGGCAGACAACAGCCAAAUGCAAGCAAACCUCCAACGCAUCAUGGAUGAACAACAGCGGCAGCAACAAUCCCUAAUCCAGCUAAUACAACACAACCAAAUUAUCAACAACAACCUCUCAAGAAUAAUAGCAAGCAACACUGCCGCUAAUACGCAACUCACUGCAAGCUUAAACAUACUUAGUCAAAGCCUUAAUGUGUUGGCAUCACACCAAGUCACCUCUAGCUCGUGGACAACUACACCAAGCCAGACCCCAGUUCAAUCCCCAGUUAGACGCUCAAGUCGAACCCGGACCAACGAGCCAGCCCAAUCCUCGGCACCCAGCACACACACAAGAAAAAAAAAAAAUCAAGCCUGCUGAUAAUAGUUUGUACAUUAAAAAAUGAUGUUUAUUUGUUUGAACAAAAAUGCCUGUGUUCAACUUGGGCCAGAUGUCUAUUGGUAUAAAUGUAUUGCCUGCCCCUAGGUGGCCUCAGCUCAACGUGUGUGUAAUCUAUGGCACCCAGCACAUUGGGCAUGGCCGCAAGCUCAGAGAAAGCUACCCUGACUGCAUGCUACUGCGACUCCUGGGUAGGGAAGCAGAGAGAGGCAUCUAUGUGGCCAUCCAAGACAUCCAAAACCUGAGUGGACAUUCCUAAAUUAAAGGUGAGCGUCAUGACCUGUAAUCAAUACAAUACUGUGU